rnacentral:rRNA from 1 species
CGGCGGGACGGGUGAGUAACACGGUACGGGUAACCUACCUAUAAGACUGGGAUAACUUCGGGAAACCGGAGCUAAUACCGGAUAAUAUUUCGAACCGCAUGGUUCGAUAGUGAAAGGUGGUUUUGCUAUCACUUAUAGAUGGACCCGCGCCGUAUUAGCUAGUUGGUAAGGUAACGGCUUACCAAGGCGACGAUACGUAGCCGACCUGAGAGGGUGAUCGGCCACACUGGAACUGAGACACGGUCCAGACUCCUACGGGAGGCAGCAGCC